rnacentral:rRNA from 1 species
GCCUACGGGGCGCAGCAGUGGGGAAUAUUGCACAAUGGGCGAAAGCCUGAUGCAGCGACGCCGCGUGAGUGAAGAAGUAUUUCGGUAUGUAAAGCUCUAUCAGCAGGGAAGAAAAUGACGGUACCUGACUAAGAAGCCCCGGCUAACUACGUGCCAGCAGCCGCGGUAAUACGUAGGGAGCAAGCGUUAUCCGGAUUUAUUGGGUGUAAAGGGUGCGUUGACGGGAAACCAAGUUAGUUGUGAAAUUCCUCGGCUUAACUGAGGAACUGCAACUAAAACUAUUUUUCUUGAGUGUUGGAGAGGAA